UACGGAGGGGGCUAGCGUUGUUCGGAAUUACUGGGCGUAAAGCGCGCGUAGGCGGACCUGCAAGUCGGGGGGUGAAAGCCCGAGGCUCAACCUCGGAACUGCCUUCGAUACUGCGGGUCUCGAGUCCGGGAGAGGUGAGUGGAAUUCCUAGUGUAGAGGUGAAAUUCGUAGAUAUUAGGAAGAACACCAGUGGCGGAAAGGCGGCUCACUGGCCCGGUACUG
rnacentral:rRNA from 1 species